UGUUCGACACAGGAAGCAGCUAGGCGG
rnacentral:sRNA from 1 species